UCCUGAGCUAAAUAACCUGAAGGCACCCAAUCCCAUUUGAUCUUGGGAGCUAAGCAGGGUCAGCCUGGUUAAUGUUUUGAUGGGUGACUGCCAAUGAAUACCAGGUGUUGCAGACU
rnacentral:rRNA from 1 species